CGUUUUCAUUCUCCUUAGUACGGAAGGACCAGGAUAAAAGUGCCCAUACAGACAUGUAUACACUCUAAUUAAAAAC
rnacentral:rRNA from 1 species